rnacentral:rRNA from 4 species
GAUGAACGCUGGCGGCGUGCUUAACACAUGCAAGUCGAACGAGCCUUCGGGCUAGUGGCGGACGGGUGAGUAACGCGUGGGAAUCUGCCCUCAGGAGGGGGAUAACGGCCGGAAACGGCCGCUAAUACCCCAUAUGCCGAGAGGUGAAAUGAAUUUCGCCUGAGGAUGAGCCCGCGUCUGAUUAGCUAGUUGGUGGGGUAAUGGCCCACCAAGGCGACGAUCAGUAGCUGGUCUGAGAGGAUGAUCAGCCACACUGGGACUGAGACACGGCCCAGACUCCUACGGGAGGCAGCAGUGGGGAAUUUUCCGCAAUGGGCGAAAGCCUGACGGAGCAACGCCGCGUGAGGGAUGAAGGCCUCUGGGCUGUAAACCUCUUUUCUCAAGGAAGAAGACAUGACGGUACUUGAGGAAUAAGCCACGGCUAAUUCCGUGCCAGCAGCCGCGGUAAUACGGGAGUGGCAAGCGUUAUCCGGAAUUAUUGGGCGUAAAGCGUCCGCAGGCGGCCUUGUAAGUCUGUCGUUAAAGCGUGGAGCUUAACUCCAUUUCAGCGAUGGAAACUACAAGGCUUGAGUGUGGUAGGGGCAGAGGGAAUUCCCGGUGUAGCGGUGAAAUGCGUAGAUAUCGGGAAGAACACCAGUGGCGAAGGCGCUCUGCUGGGCCAUAACUGACGCUCAUGGACGAAAGCCAGGGGAGCGAAAGGGAUUAGAUACCCCUGUAGUCCUGGCCGUAAACGAUGAACACUAGGUGUCGGGGGAAUCGACCCCCUCGGUGUCGUAGCUAACGCGUUAAGUGUUCCGCCUGGGGAGUACGCACGCAAGUGUGAAACUCAAAGGAAUUGACGGGGGCCCGCACAAGCGGUGGAGUAUGUGGUUUAAUUCGAUGCAACGCGAAGAACCUUACCAGGGUUUGACAUCCUGCGAAUCCCUUGGAAACGAGGGAGUGCCUUCGGGAGCGCAGAGACAGGUGGUGCAUGGCUGUCGUCAGCUCGUGUCGUGAGAUGUUGGGUUAAGUCCCGCAACGAGCGCAACCCACGUCUUUAGUUGCCAGCAUUCAGUUGGGCACUCUAGAGAGACCGCCGGUGAUAAACCGGAGGAAGGUGUGGAUGACGUCAAGUCAUCAUGCCCCUUACAUCCUGGGCUACACACGUACUACAAUGCUACGGACAAAGGGUUGCAAGCUCGCGAGAGUUAGCUAAUCCCAUAAACCGUGGCUCAGUUCAGAUCGUAGGCUGCAACUCGCCUACGUGAAGGAGGAAUCGCUAGUAAUCGCAGGUCAGCAUACUGCGGUGAAUACGUUCCCGGGCCUUGUACACACCGCCCGUCACACCAUGGAAGUUGGCCAUGCCCGAAGUCGUUACUCCAACCCUUGUGGAGGAGGACGCCGAAGGUGGGGCUGAUGACUGGGGUGAAGUCGUAACAAGGUAGCCGUACCGGAAGGUGCGGCUGGAUCACCUCCU